rnacentral:lncRNA from 1 species
GCCAGUUUCCCCCAUUUGUGCCCCCUCCCCCAGUUCAUAUGCUGAAACCGAAUCCCUAAUGUGAUGACAUUAUGAGGUGGGGCUUCGGCAUGUGCUUAGGUGGGUAGUGAGGGUGGAGCCCUCGGGAAUGGGUUAGUGCUUUUAUUUAUGUAUUUUAUUUUAUUUUGAGACGAAGUCUCACUCUGUCGCCUAGGCUGGGAGGCAGUGGCAUGAUCUUGGCUCAUUGCAACCUCUGCCUCCCAAGUUCAAGUGAUUCUCCUGCCUCAGCCUCCCGGGUAGCUGGGAUUACAGGCAUGCUCCACCACGUCCAGCUAAUUUUUGUAUCUUUAGUAGAGAUAAGGUUUCACCAUGUUAGCCAGGCUGGUCUCGAACUCCUGACUACAGGUGAUCCGCCCACCUCGGCCUCCCAAAGUGCUGGGAUUACAGACGUGAGCCAAAACACCCGGCCAAAGUUAGUGCCUUUAAAAAGGAGGCCCCCCAGAGCCCCCUCAUGCCUUCCACCCUGUGAGGACACAGCAUGAAGAAGUGAUCUAGGAACCAGGAAGGGGUCCUCGCCAGACCUUGAAUAUGCCGGCGCUUUGAUCUUGGACCUCCAGCCUCCAGAAAUGUGAGAAAUCAAUUUCUGUUCUUUAGAAGCCACCCCAUCUAUGACUAAGACACCCUCCCACCUUCAUGCUACUGAGUGGACAAGCUUACAUGAAAUGACUGUUUUCACAUAUGUGGCACCAGGCAGCCCAGGGAUGCCGGUGAAAUCUCUGGGAGAACGGCAUGUUCCAGAGAGCCACAGCUUGCUCAGCCUGGACCCCAGAACGAAGGAGGCAUCAGAAGCUGAGCCACCCGUGGCCGACAAGAAACCUGAGUGGGAGGGGAAACUUGGUUGCUGUGAUCGACCCAGGCUUGCGAGUUGUUUUGGCAACACAGCCUAGCAAGAGCCGACCAAUAUGUCAUUGAUGAAAGAAAGUCAACAGGCGUGUAGAAGGAGCUGUCUACUGAGCAUGUCUGCACUUUUCUGAAUUAUGUUGCACUUGAGUAAAAAGUAAGCAAGCCUGUCUAUUUACUUUAAAUGAUGUGUGCCAGAUAUGUACAGUAUGCAGAGUUAAGAAGGUGCCACCCCAAAAUAGGCUGCUCUGGCAUAGUCACUAUUAGGAAUUAAAGGCAGUUAAAACAAUAACAGGUG